UACGUAGGGUGCAAGCGUUGUCCGGAAUCACUGGGCGUAAAGGGCGCGUAGGCGGCCUCAGGUGUCGGAUGUGAAAGCCCGGGGCUCAACCCCGGAGGUGCAUCCGAAACUCUGGGGCUGGAGGUCGGAAGAGGAGGGUGGAAUACCCAGUGUAGAGGUGAAAUUCGUAGAUAUUGGGUGGAACACCGGUGGCGAAAGCGGCUCUCUGGUCCGGACCUGACGCUGAGGCGCGAAAGCGUGGGGAGCAAACAGG
rnacentral:rRNA from 1 species